UACAGAGGGUGCAAGCGUUGUUCGGAAUUACUGGGCGUAAAGCGCGUGUAGGUGGCAGCGUAAGUCGAAUGUGAAAGCCCUCAGCUCAACUGAGGAAGUGCAUCCGAUACUGCGUUGCUUGAGUACUGGAGGGGAUGGCGGAAUUCCCGGUGUAGAGGUGAAAUUCGUAGAUAUCGGGAGGAACACCUGUGGCGAAGGCGGCCAUCUGGACAGUCACUGACACUGAGACGCGAAAGCGUGGGUAGCAAACAGG
rnacentral:rRNA from 1 species